GGGUGGAGGAAGGGCGAGCGGCGUGGUAGCAGCGAGGCGGACGUUGGUGGACGUCGGGAGCGAGCUGAAGCAGCUGCAAGACUUGCAGUGAGCCAGCGGGGGCGCCUCCACCGAGAUGUCGUUGCUCAGAAGAGUCUCCUGACUGACGACGAUUUGGGAGGAGUUCAUGUCGGAGAUGACUGAGCACAACACCUCCGCCAAAGGAAUGAAUUGGGACUGGGGGACGGGGGACAUCUGCAACGGGGACAAGUCGCCUGGAACACAUCACGACAGAUUGUGAGAUGGUGCAACUACGCCCAAACCGCAUCAGGAUUCAAAACAAUUGUCCUCUAACCACUUCUUAAGCCCGGAUCACGGUGGUCUAUUUAUGUGAGUUACAUGAACCGUGAAAGUCUGGCCGGCUGCGGACAUUCCAGCAGCGCCGGGACGAACCGCAGAAUUCCACCACUCCCACAACACUGACCGCAGGUCGCAUGCUGGGUGGAUCGCAUAUCUCGCCCCCAAGACUCCAAUGUCAUGGAGGUGCCCUUGGAAAAACAUGACCCCCCCUUCCCCUAAAGAACUUCUUGACAUAUUUGGUCUUGUAAUUUCAAACUGGUGCCAUGCAAGUUUGACCACAUCAAAAAUGACUCACGGGGCAGACGGCAUUCACAUGGGACGUGUCUGGAAAUGUAAAAAAGGAAAUCUGAUAAAAAAAAAAAGUGUUUAAAGAUUAGUCAUGCUUUAAAACAAACCAGAUCCCGAGUGAAUGAUUAGACAGACAAAUCCGUUACAGGUUUGACUAGUUAAUCAAUCAUAAAGGUGUUCUGGUGGAUUCAUUGACAUCGAAAAAUAUUAGCGAAACCAAAAGUAGGAGACAGAAAAUAAAAUGUUAAACCAAAUAAUCUGGAAUAUAAAAAAAUGGAAAACUUUGAUUUCAUGACAGCGCUGUAGAAAACGAUACUUGAAGGACUGUGUUUCCACUUGAAGUUCAAACAUAUGCCACAAGACCCCCAAACACAGCAAAGCGCCCGCUUGAUGUAAACUAAACAUUUACAGCCGUCGCAUUUGAGCCACUUAGACACAAGACGGGGAAAAUAAACAACACGUCGCGUACUAUCUGUCACACAAGCCAAUGAAUAGUGUCUUGUUUUUGUGUGUGUGGGGGGGGGUUGCAGUGACACAUUUUUAAAGUCAAUAAAGCAGAAAACCGCA